rfam:Schistosoma rodhaini strain Burundi genome assembly, scaffold: SROB_scaffold0000148
ACCCAGCUGAUGAGUCCCGAGUAGGACGAAACGCGCAUCCUGGAU